rnacentral:rRNA from 1 species
UACGUAGGGGGCUAGCGUUGUCCGGAAUCAUUGGGCGUAAAGAGCGUGUAGGCGGCUUGGUAAGUCCGCUGUGAAAGUCCAGGGCUCAACCCUGGAAAGCCAGUGGAUACUGUCAAGCUAGAGUCCGGAAGAGGCGAGUGGAAUUCCUGGUGUAGCGGUGAAAUGCGCAGAUAUCAGGAGGAACACCAAUGGCGAAGGCAGCUCGCUGGGACGGUACUGACGCUGAGACGCGAAAGCGUGGGGAGCAAACAGGAUUAGAUACCCUGGUAGUCCACGCUGUAAACGAUGGGCACUAGGUGUGGGGGGUGUCGACUCCCUCCGUGCCGACGCUAACGCAUUAAGUGCCCCGCCUGGGGAGUACGGCCGCAAGGCUAAA